rnacentral:rRNA from 1 species
AUGAAAUUUUCCAUUUCAUCUGAGGAAAUGAAGUGCCUUAACCUGAAAUUUGGAACAUCUAACCUGGAUAAGAAGGGAUACGAUGAGCUACUUGCACUUCCUGUCAGCUUUCAUGACUACCAAGGUCUUGAUCCAUAUGAUCUAGUGUGGGCUAAAAUAACAGAGGGAGGGAAGGGUCAACAUUUUCUCACCCCUUUCCGGCCAAUGUGCUCGGCCAUCUGGCCGCUGGCGAUGGCCCCGACCAUGGCGCCGAUGUGGACAGCGAGUCGAACGCCAAGAACUGCAUCACGUGCAGGCACGAAGUUACUCAACAUCUUUAGUCCAAGAAGAAGUGGAAACAGUGCAAGCUUAGAUGCUCCAGGCACAACCUUCUCAUAG